CAUGGCUCAGGAUGAACGCUAGCGGCAGGCUUAAUACAUGCAAGGCGAAGGGGCAGCAAUGUCACUGUCGUACGGGUGCGUAACGCGUAUGCAACCUACCUAUCACUGGGGGAUAGCCCGGGGAAACCCGGAUUAAUACCGCAUAACACAGGGGUCCCGCAUGGGUACUAUUUGUUAAAGAUUUAUCGGUGGUAGAUGGGCAUGCGUUCGAUUAGCUAGUUGGUGCGGGUAACGGCCCACCAAGGCGACGAUCGAUAGGGGAGCUGAGAGGUUGAUCCCCCACACGGGCACUGAGAUACGGGCCCGACUCCUACGGGAGGCAGCAGUAGGGAAUAUUGGGCAAUGGAUGCAAGUCUGACCCAGCCAUGCCGCGUGCCGGAUGAAGGCCCUCAGGGUUGUAAACGGCUUUUAUUCGGGAAGAAGAGCAGGGAUGCGUCCUUGUGUGACGGUACCGAAUGAAUAAGCACCGGCUAACUCCGUGCCAGCAGCCGCGGUAAUACGGAGGGUGCGAGCGUUGUCCGGAUUUAUUGGGUUUAAAGGGUGCGUAGGUGGCCUGUUAAGUCAGUGGUGAAAUACAGCCGCUCAACGGUUGAGGUGCCAUUGAUACUGACGGGCUUGAAAUAAUUGGAGGCUGCCGGAAUGGAUGGUGUAGCGGUGAAAUGCAUAGAUAUCAUCCAGAACACCGAUUGCGAAGGCAGGUGGCUACGAUUGG
rnacentral:rRNA from 1 species